GUAUUCGUUCAAGACUUUUAAAAGUCCAUAUAAAUCUGGGUGUAUUCGUUCCAGACUUUUUAAAUCCAUACAAAUCUAGGUGUAUUCGUUAUUCCAUUGACUUAAAAUCCGGAAUGACUUUCAUGGAUUUCAUCCAAAAAAUACACACGACGAAAUCCGGCCAAGAACCACGAGAAUUGAAAUCCAUGAAGUUUUAAACGAGCGGUGAGUUCCAGCGCCCGCGGCCAAGAAGCCAGCGAGCGCUGGAACUCAGUCAUCGUUGAGUGUCCAGCCCACGCUGGAUUUGAGCGGGCGCUGGAGUGUCCAGAUCCACGUUGGAUCUGUGAUUCUCACUUCAACCUUGUAAUGUAUCACUUUGUGUUUUGCUUAGUUGAUCGCAAUCAAGUCCUGCCAUGACCGCAACAUCACUCACAGGGAUAUCAAACCUGAAAACAUGGUAAUAUGCUUUGAAGACCAAGACUCAGGAAGCUGCUUGAGAGGAACUCCAAAUAGUAGCGAGAACUACACUACUAAAAUGUACUGAUUCUUCGAAUUUAUCGUUGUGUUUCAGUAUCCUGGUUCUUAAAAUUUAUUACUGUAGUUUCCUUUUUACUGCGAUGAAUUGCACGGCCUUAACUUUUA